rnacentral:pre_miRNA from 1 species
CAUAUAUUCCCUUCGUCCGGAAAUACUUGUCAUAAAAAAUGAUAAAAAACGAUGUAUUUAAAAAUAUUUUAGUUCUCGAUACAUUUUUUUAUCCAUUUUGAUGACCAGUAUUUUCAGACGGAGGCCAUCGACA